rnacentral:rRNA from 1 species
UACGUAGGGGGCAAGCGUUGUCCGGAUUUAUUGGGCGUAAAGAGCGUGUAGGCGGCUAUACAGGUCCGCUGUGAAAACUCGAGGCUCAACCUUUGAAAGCCGGUGGAUACUGUGGGGCUAGAGUCCGGAAGAGGCGAGUGGAAUUCCUGGUGUAGCGGUGGAAUGCGCAGAUAUCGGGAAGAACACCCGUGGCGAAGGCGGCUCUCUGGGACGGUAUUGACGCUGAGACGCGAAAGCGUGGGGAGCAAACAGG